GACGAACCGAGCGAGCGUUGUUCGGAAUCACUGGGCCUAAAGGGCGCGUAGGCGGGCUGCCGCGUCCGGGGUGAAAUGCCACGGCUCAACCGUGGAACGGCCUCGGAUACGGGCGGUCUCGAGGGGGGUAGGGGCAUGCGGAACUGUGGGUGGAGCGGUGAAAUGCGUUGAUAUCCACAGGAACUCCGGUGGCGAAGGCGGCGUGCUGGACCCCAUCUGACGCUGAGGCGCGAAAGCCAGGGGAGCAAACGGG
rnacentral:rRNA from 1 species